rnacentral:rRNA from 1 species
AUGCGCGCGGCCGGCUUCUGGAGCUCCCAGUCCCAGGUCAGGGCCACCAUGGUAGGCGCCGCCGACUCGUGGGAGCAGCCGAUUAGGGCAAGUUGCGACGUCCCGAAACUCCAGCCAUCGGUCGUCGCCCACGUCGUCCCGGACGGAAGUGAAUGUCAAGCUAGCAAAGCAAAAUCAGGAACAGCGCAGCCGGCUUUCUUAUGCGGCACCGAGGUGAUCCUGCCUCCCUGGCUCCACCGCUACAAAUGUACAAAAUACACCAGUACAACGUACUGCGGCGCCAGUCUUGAAGCAAACUCUGCUUCCUGCCGUCCGAAGUUCACGGAGCUCACCGCGCAAAAUCUCAAGAUCCUGUGUGGCGCGCUCGAGCUGCGCGUUCCACGGCACGCGAACAUCAUUCCCGGCAUAUCGAGCACAGUGCUUCGAUGCCGGUCCGGCGUGACAAGGCGGAGGGCGGGCGUAUGGCCGACGACCUGGCUGCUCUUCCGAGGAAGGGACGGUGGGGGCAAGACGGCGGUUGCUCGCGAGCUCGCGAGGCUCGUGUUUGGCUCCUACGCCGAGUUCACCACCUUGCAGGUUCAGGGUAACCCCGACAUCCCCGCACAAACCGGCAAACUUGCCCUCAAGAGGCAGAGAUCACCGGACAUCGACGGCCAGGGCAAUGGUGGUGACGUCAGGGCGAGGCUGUUUGAAGCGAUUGUGGAGAACCCUCACCGCGUCAUAUUGAUCGAUGGCGUCAACCGACUGGAUGGCGAUUCGGAAAUGCGCAUCAAGAAUGCUAUCGCGGGAGGAACAAUAGUGAGGGGAUACAACGAUGACAUGGUUGGUUUGGAGGAUGCCAUCGUGGUGCUGAGCUCCGACGUGUGUGACUCGAGGUCUGUGGCUUCCGCUUCCUCCCAACGGGUGAAGCGACGACGUAACAACGCGGACAUGGAAGUGAGACCACGUCGUGGUCUUUGCUGGGAUCUGAACAUUUGUGCAGUGGACGGGGAAGAGGAGGAAAACAGUUUGGCUCAUGAUGAGGGGGUCAUAAGUGUGGUCGAUGGUGUUUUCCUUUUCAAUUAG